UCUUGACAGCUUACGCGAUGGUUUUACUUCAAGGGUACGCACUCGUCUUGUGGCUCGCAACAGUUGGUGAUUCUCAUUGACGACGGGCGUACGAACCAUAGACAAAGGCAUUCUCUCAAAGCUUGGUGAUUCUCGAGGACGAGUAUUAAUUCAUCAGCAUAGGCACAUUCUCUCAACGGCUGGUGAUUCUCAAGGACGAGCAUUGAUCAACGAGCAUAGGUACUCUUUCAACAGUUGUUGAUUCUUGAGGAAGAGCGUUGAUCCACGAGCAUGGGCAAUCUUUCAACAGUCGGUGAUUCCUUGACAACAAGCAUCAAUCCAUAAACAUAUGAG
rnacentral:lncRNA from 1 species